GGAAAGUUGGCAGAGUGGUCGAUUGCGGCGGUCUUGAAAACCGUUGAGGCGCGAGUCUCCGGGGGUUCGAAUCCCUCACUUUCCG
rnacentral:tRNA from 1 species